UACGAAGGGGGCUAGCGUUGUUCGGAAUCACUGGGCGUAAAGAGCGCGUAGGUGGUUUGGUAAGUCAGAGGUGAAAGCCUGGAGCUCAACUCCAGAACUGCCUUUGAAACUGCCAAGCUGGAGUCUCGGAGAGGAUAGUGGAAUUCCUAGUGUAGAGGUGAAAUUCGUAGAUACUAGGAGGAACACCAGUGGCGAAGGCGACUAUCUGGACGAGUACUGACACUGAGGCGCGAAAGCGUGGGUAGCAAACAGG
rnacentral:rRNA from 1 species